rnacentral:rRNA from 1 species
UUAUGCGUGGCGGCAUGCUUAACAUGCAGUCGAACGGCAGCACGGGUGCUUGCACCUGGUGGCGAGUGGCGAACGGGUGAGUAAUACAUCGGAACAUGUCCUGUAGUGGGGGAUAGCCCGGCGAAAGCCGGAUUAAUACCGCAUACGAUCUACGGAUGAAAGCGGGGGACCUUCGGGCCUCGCGCUAUAGGGUUGGCCGAUGGCUGAUUAGCUAGUUGGUGGGGUAAAGGCCCACCAAGGCGACGAUCAGUAGCUGGUCUGAGAGGACGACCAGCCACACUGGGACUGAGACACGGCCCAGACUCCUACGGGAGGCAGCAGUGGGGAAUUUUGGACAAUGGGCGAAAGCCUGAUCCAGCAAUGCCGCGUGUGUGAAGAAGGCCUUCGGGUUGUAAAGCACUUUUGUCCGGAAAGAAAUCCUGAGGGCUAAUAUCCUUCGGGGAUGACGGUACCGGAAGAAUAAGCACCGGCUAACUACGUGCCAGCAGCCGCGGUAAUACGUAGGGUGCGAGCGUUAAUCGGAAUUACUGGGCGUAAAGCGUGCGCAGGCGGUUUGUUAAGACCGAUGUGAAAUCCCCGGGCUCAACCUGGGAACUGCAUUGGUGACUGGCAAGCUAGAGUAUGGCAGAGGGGGGUAGAAUUCCACGUGUAGCAGUGAAAUGCGUAGAGAUGUGGAGGAAUACCGAUGGCGAAGGCAGCCCCCUGGGCCAAUACUGACGCUCAUGCACGAAAGCGUGGGGAGCAAACAGGAUUAGAUACCCUGGUAGUCCACGCCCUAAACGAUGUCAACUAGUUGUUGGGGAUUCAUUUCCUUAGUAACGUAGCUAACGCGUGAAGUUGACCGCCUGGGGAGUACGGUCGCAAGAUUAAAACUCAAAGGAAUUGACGGGGACCCGCACAAGCGGUGGAUGAUGUGGAUUAAUUCGAUGCAACGCGAAAAACCUUACCUACCCUUGACAUGGUCGGAACCUUGGAGAGAUCUGAGGGUGCUCGAAAGAGAACCGAUACACAGGUGCUGCAUGGCUGUCGUCACCUCCUGUCCUGAGAAGUUUGGGUUAAAUCCCCCACCAACGCCACCCCUUGUCCUUAUUUGUUCCCCAGAACACUCUUUGGGAGAAGGCCCGUUACAAACCGCAAGAAAGGUGGGGAGAAAAGGCCGAUCCCCCCGCCCCCCUUGGGGAGGGGGUUCGCCGCUCCACAAAAGAGUGGAAGAAAGGGGGGGCCGCCCCCCCGGGGGGGAGCAAAUCCCGAAAACCAACCUGAAUCCG